CAAGCCGGGAACUCACUCGGGCCCGCGGCUGCGCGCCACCACCAGGAAUCACCUUGCAGCUCGGCUUAAGGAGAGAUCAGGAGACUUAUUUCCUAGGUGAUGGGGGCCCGUGAAGGGUUUGAGGAAGGCCUUAGAGUGGCAUUUGGAGUUGCUGGGAAAAGACUGGUGGAGGGGACGUUGAAAGAAGGCAGGAGUUAGGCUGCUGUGCUCCAGCAGGAGAGCUGGAGGAAACAGGGGCUGUCGCAACCCAGAAGGAGACUCUUUAGACACCAGACGCCUGCUGCAAGGAAGGCCUGGGUAGACCUGCUGGUGACACAUAUUCAGAGAUGCGUCUACAGGCUGAUUCGCACAACACAACGGAGGGGAUUCAGAAGCGCUGCUGUGGUCAACACGACACCCACCAGCCAAGGUCCAGUACUGCUCACCCCCGCCCCAUCUUCCUCUUGCUAAAUCGUGAUGUUUUUGGUUCUUCUUCUGUAUUUAUCUUCUCCUGCAUUCACCUCCCCCUCACACCCCCCUCAUUGGUUUGGCACAAAGAGGUCCCCCAGCGGGGAGUGAGCCAGUCCGUCUGUUCCCUUGCCUGUGUGGGGACAGUGUGUGGGCGAUGGUGUGGGGGGCCUGGGGGUCUGCGCGUGCAGUGCAGAUGCUGUCAUGGGCCUGCUUCUUGCCCCUUUUCUCUUGCAGGUUGGGCAUCACACACUCUGCUCUGGUGACUUCGCCCAAAUCUAACAGCAGUGCAAGAAGGCAGGCAAGGUGGAAAACAAGGCUUAAUUCCCCCGAAACCGGGGUCUCCCACCUCCCACCUUGAGAAAACAGAGCUGUAGAGACCCAGGAGCCAAGCCAGGUCUGCCAGCAAAACCGUGAAGUCGGCAUACCCUGGUCUCCUCCCCCCACCUUCCAGAGCCCCCUCUUCCUCAUGGAAGAAUCAGGAAAGAGGCAACAUUUAACAAAUGAAGACCGGAAGAGGUGACUCUUAGCACUCACCCCGUUGGAGGAGGUCAUUUUGUGCUUAGACACGUGCCACCCAAAUAGCCAUGAUUCCACCUGCUAGAAAGAACAACCCCGGGGCCCUCUCCUCCGGGCAUCGAGAAAGGCAGAUGGGUGCUGGGUUUCCGUUUAGAGUAAUGAAAAAAGUCUGCAACUAGAUAGUGGGGAUAGUUGCAUAACGCUGUGAAUGUACUUCAGGUCAUGGAAUUGUACGCUCUAAAAUGGUUACAGUGGGGGUUCCCUCAUGGCGCAGCGGGCGAAGGAUCUGUUGUUGUCACUGCUGUGGCUUGGGUCACUGCUAUGGUGCAGGUUUGAUCCCUCA
rnacentral:lncRNA from 1 species